GACGAACGCUGGCGGCGUGCUUAACACAUGCAAGUCGAACGGAAAGGCCCUGCUUUUGUGGGGUGCUCGAGUGGCGAACGGGUGAGUAACACGUGAGUAACCUGCCCUUGACUUUGGGAUAACUUCAGGAAACUGGGGCUAAUACCGGAUAGGAGAUCCUGCUGCAUGGUGGGGGUUGGAAAGUUUCGGCGGUUGGGGAUGGACUCGCGGCUUAUCAGCUUGUUGGUGGGGUAGUGGCUUACCAAGGCUUUGACGGGUAGCCGGCCUGAGAGGGUGACCGGCCACAUUGGGACUGAGUUACGGCACCGACUCCUACGGGAGGCAGCAGUGGGGAAUAUUGCACAAUGGGCGGAAGCCUAAUGCAGCAACGCCGCGUGCGGGAUGACGGCCUUCGGGUUGUAAACCGCUUUCGCCUGUGACGAAGCGUGAGUGACGGUAAUGGGUAAAGAAGCACCGGCUAACUACGUG
rnacentral:rRNA from 1 species